rnacentral:tRNA from 1 species
GGGGGUGUAGCUCAGUUGGGAGAGCACCUGCUUUGCAAGCAGAUGGUCGCCGGUUCGAGGCCGGCCACUUCCACCA